rnacentral:rRNA from 1 species
CGCUGGCGGCACGCCUAACACAUGCAAGUCGAACGGUGUUUGAGAGCUUGCUCUUAAACAUAGUGGCGUACGGGUGAGUAACACGUGAGCAACCUGCCUCUGAGAGAGGGAUAGCUUCUGGAAACGGAUGGUAAUACCUCAUAACAUAGCUGGACCGCAUGAUCCGGUUAUCAAAGAUUUAUCACUCAGAGAUGGGCUCGCGUCUGAUUAGCUAGUUGGUGAGGUAACGGCCCACCAAGGCGACGAUCAGUAGCCGGACUGAGAGGUUGAACGGCCACAUUGGGACUGAGACACGGCCCAGACUCCUACGGGAGGCAGCAGUGGGGAAUAUUGGGCAAUGGGGGAAAAACCCCCUGACCCAGCAACGCCGCGUGAGGGAAGAAGGUUUUCGGAUCGUAAACCUCUGUCCUUGGUGAAGAGUGAGAGACGGUAGCCAAGGAGGAAGCCCCGGCUAACUACGUGCCAGCCGCCGC